rfam:Triticum urartu cultivar G1812 contig641124, whole genome shotgun sequence.
AACCCCCUGAUUCACCCCUCAAACUUUGGCCGGUAGGGGAGGUGAAAUCAGGGGGUCGAAACUGCCUGCUGGCAGAAAGGAUUAUAGCAAAUGGGUAUUCUAUUGCAAUACAGCCCGGCCAAUAUG